rnacentral:rRNA from 1 species
GGAAUUUUGGACAAUGGGGGCAACCCUGAUCCAGCCAUACCGCGUGAGUGAAGAAGGCCUUCGGGUUGUAAAGCUCUUUCAGCCGGAAAGAAAACGCACAGGCUAAUAUCCUGUGUGGAUGACGGUACCGGAAGAAGAAGCACCGGCUAACUACGUGCCAGCAGCCGCGGUAAUACGUAGGGUGCGAGCGUUAAUCGGAAUUACUGGGCGUAAAGCGUGCGCAGGCGGCUUUUUAAGCCAGAUGUGAAAUCCCCGGGCUUAACCUGGGAACUGCAUUUGGAACUGGAAGGCUAGAGUGUAGCAGAGGGGGGUAGAAUUCCACGUGUAGCAGUGAAAUGCGUAGAGAUGUGGAGGAAUACCGAUGGCGAAGGCAGCCCCCUGGGCUAACACUGACGCUCAUGCACGAAAGCGUGGGGAGCAAACA